AACUGAUACUACCUGCGGGAACCUGCGGAGGGAUCAUUAGAGAAUCAUUGACGCAGGGUCGAAGGCCCUGUGUCAACCCACUCUAUUUCAACCCCUUGUGAACUGUCGAUCGGUCAAGAGUGUGUUCUGCAUAGUCUUGGUCGAGGGUGCUCUGCAAUUCGAUUUUGAUUUGCCACCCGAAUCACUUUUUGAAAACCAUAGUGUGUUGAAUGGCACGCCGCAUGGCGAUUUGAAACACAA
rnacentral:misc_RNA from 1 species